GUGAAUAACAGAAGCAAGCGCGUCGCAGUGUAUCACCCUCCGUUCUCCUUCCCCAAAAUCCCAAUUCCAUCGAUUUGGCAUCACUUCCCUCUCUACCUUCAGUCUCAGAGCAGCUUCCGAUCACUUCCCUCUCUCCCUUCGAAACAAUCAGUUUAUAAACCCAUUAUCUCCUUCAUGUCGCUUCCAAAUGAAGAAAAUGAAAUGUCCUCUUCUCCCGAUGCUCAGCUUUCGUCUCAUGUUUUUGGGGCCCUCCUCGAUUCAAUUAUUGUUGAUGUUGCAUCUGAGUGUCAUCGAAUAGCAAAGUUGGGUCUUGAUCGUAAUUUUGAAGAAGAGGAAGAAGAACUAAGGCUUUCAGCCCAAGCACGGGUGAGGGUAGCUGAUCCUGGUAAUAGUGGUGAAGCAAAUGGCAAGUACGUGGUUGACAUAUUUGGGCAGAAUCAUCCUUCUGUAGCCAGUGAAGUGUUUGAGUGCAUGAAUUGUGGUCGGUCUAUCGUUGCUGGGAGGUUUGCUCCUCAUCUGGAGAAGUGUAUGGGAAAGGGUAGAAAGGCUCGCCUCAAAGUGACAAGAAGUAGCACGGCUGCACAGACUCGGAAUUCACGGGGAAACUCUGCAUCUACAUACUCCACAUAUUCAAAUUCCAACAGCACAAACCGAUUAUCAAAUGGAGCAUCCGCUGUUGCUGGUGAGGAGUACUCGAUUGGUGCAUUGGAAGAGCCAUGAAACAGUAAGAACUGCUGCAGUGCAAACUCAAGGCCCCUCACAACAUCAUUCAUCGACGGUCGUUCGAUUCCUUUAUCAUCGAGGUUGAUUUGCCUAGUCUCCACCGUAUGCAGCGGAGCUGGCCUUGCACACAGUAUCUCCCACAAAACUACUCCAAAUGAGUACACAUCAGACUUCUCAGUAAGCUGUUGACGUCAGAAGUAAUCCAAGUCUAGAUACCCGAAACUACCUUUCACCAUGGUGCUGAUGUGCAUUUUGGACGUGUUGUUCGUGCCCAAUUUUUACAACCCGAAAUCUGAAACCUUGGCGACCAUUUUCUCAUCCAAUAAAUGGAAUGGACGAAGGAGCACUAUAUAUUUAUGGUUCAAACCACUGCUCUUGCGAUAUUAGCUUAUGUUGUUCUAAGUCCUAUUGAUUAGAAAAGCUAUUGUGAUCGUAAAAGAGGAGAAGGUUUUGAACACAGAGGCUGUUAUGGCUUCUUCAAGUUCAAAUUCUGCAGGUAUGUUCUCAGCAAUCCUUGUUCUUGUUCAUAAGUUUUGUCACUUGACUUGUUUCAGAACAUUGGUAAUUCAAUUGGCAUAUCAUCGAUCUGUGUUAGAGUUCUUACAUGUGGUAUCAGAGCCUAGUUGAUUAUUGUCAUUGAGUUCGAAAUUUACACAAGAAUCUGAUGGAAAAGCUAUGAACACUUAAACGUUCCAAACCCAGAAAACGUAUAACCUUGUUUAAAUUGAAUAUUGGCAAAACGCAUAACCUUGUUCGAAAUUUUCUGGGUUUGCACCUUUUUUCUCUUCUUGGUUUGAAGUUGUGAUGAUCCAAACAUGCUUUGCUUCUAGAUCUUCUCGUUCACAACCAUCUUUAUUUAAGAUUUGGAUUUGCGAUAAUAUAUAUUUUUCUUUUGUUCCCAAAGGUAUGUUUAUAAUUCAAAACUCCUGAUGUAUUAUAUCGAGUUUAUUGAAUUUUGAUCCUUGAUACAUACAAAACUCCUGAUGUAAUAUAUACAAUACUGCAAUCUUUAUACAUGAUUGAUGCUAAGAUUGAUACGAUCCUGAAACCAUU